rnacentral:rRNA from 1 species
GGCGGACAGCGUGCCAGGAGCGGGGGUAAUUGGUGGGGGGCGGGCGUUGGCCGGAAGUAUGGGGCGUACAGGGCGCGUAGGCGGUUUGUCACGUCGGGAGUGAAAACUCGGGGCUCAACCCCGAGCCUGCUUCCGAUACGGGCAGACUAGAGGUAUGCAGGGGAGAACGGAAUUCCUGGUGUAGCGGUGAAAUGCGCAGAUAUCAGGAGGAACACCGGUGGCGAAGGCGGUUCUCUGGGCAUUACCUGACGCUGAGGAGCGAAAGUGUGGGGAGCGAACAGGAUUAGAUACCCAGUAGUC